GGUUAGAAAAUAGCUGAGCCGGUAGGGCAUGAGACUCUUGAUUUCAGGAUUGUGGGCUCAAGCCCCACGUUGGGCCA